CGCUGGGCAGGGCAUACCGGGCACCGCGGGGCGGGGGCGAGCAUGGUACGCCGGGCACCGGGAUGGGCGCUGGGCAGGGCAUACCGGGCACGGCACGCCGGGGUGGGCGCUGGGAAUGGCAGAACGGGCACCGGGGCACGGCACGCCGGGCACCGGGGUACGACACACGGGGCACCGAGGCGCGGCACACGGGCGCCGGGGCAUGGCAUACCGGGCAACGGGGCGAGCACUGGGCAUGGCAGAUCAGGUACUGGGCACUGGGAUGGGCACUGGGCAUGGCAUACCCGGCACUGGGCUGCUCCACACGGUGCGGUGAGUCCUGGGUGCCAGCAGCAAGAACCGUAUGGCAGCUUCUGGGCAGCACGGGCUGAGUGUUAUGGAGCAGGCAUGGGAGGGUGGCAGCGGUGCUGGGUACAGGGAACCCUCCCGGGCACCACCUGCCAGGUGCUGGUACUGGGCACUGGUGCUGGGUGCAGGGUAGUCCAUUGGACAGUAUCCACCAGCUGCUGGCAGUGGGCAGGAUGAGGACGCUGGGUCAGGGCUCAGGUCUGGAUUUGGAGCUGGGGCUGCUUCUGGGCUUUGAUCCACAUUUGGAUUAGGGCUGGACCAUGUAUGGGUCUGCACUUAGGUGUGGGUCUGUAUUUAGAUGAGUAUUUGGAUCUGGAUUCUGAUCCACAUCUGGAUUUGCAUUUGGAGCUGGAUUUGGAUCCACAUCUGGACUUGCAUUCGGAGCUGGAUUUAGGUAUCUGGUGUAAGCCCUUGCUGUUGGGAGGUUGCAGCUGAUUACCCGUGUGCAUCUCACACGUGCCAGUGGCCACCAGACCUGCUUUGCACCAAGAGAGGUGGCACCUGGGACCCCUCUGUGCGUGUGUCCCCGGUGCUGACACCCGGCUUUGGCCACGGCGACGUGUGCAGAUAUUUUAAGAGGAAGAUUCUGUGCUCUCGCAGCUUGACUGCUAAUUUAUAAUCCUGUUUUCCUAUUAAAAUAAAAGCCUCUCUCUUAUUCCCGAACGUGAGAGCCAAAGCGGAGCUCUGA